rnacentral:rRNA from 1 species
UACGGAGGGUGCAAGCAUUGAUCGGAAUUACUGGGCGUAAAGGGCGCGUAGGCGGCAAGAUAAGUCGGAUGUGAAAUUCCGGGGCUCAACCCCGGAGCUGCAUUUGAAACUGUCUAGCUAGAGUACAGUUAGGGUAAACGGAAUUCCACGUGUAGCGGUGAAAUGCGUAGAUAUGUGGAAGAACACCGGUGGUGAAGACGGUUUACUGGGCUGAAACUGACGCUGAGGCGCGAAAGCAUGGGGAGCAAACAGG